GAGAGCCGGAUACAUUGAGAGGUGUACGUCCGGUUCGGAGGCGAGUAGUCGGAAACCUGCCAUAGUAAUAUGGUAAGGCGCUGGCUACUUAGCCUAC
rnacentral:ncRNA from 1 species